CGACACGGGGAGGUAGUGACAAUAAAUACUGAUACAGGGCUCUUUUGGGUCUUGUAAUUGGAAUGAGUACAAUUUAAAUCCCUUAACGAGGAACAAUUGGAGGGCAAGUCUGGUGCCAGCAGCCGCGGUAAUUCCAGCUCCAAUAGCGUAUAUUAAAGUUGUUGCAGUUAAAAAGCUCGUAGUUGAACCUUGGGCCUGGCUGGCCGGUCCGCCUCACCGCGUGUACUGGUCCGGCCGGGCCUUUCCUUCUGGGGAACCUCAUGCCCUUCACUGGGCGUGUUGGGGAAUCAGGACUUUUACUUUGAAAAAAUUAGAGUGUUCAAAGCAGGCCUUUGCUCGAAUACAUUAGCAUGGAAUAAUAGAAUAGGACGUGUGGUUCUAUUUUGUUGGUUUCUAGGACCGCCGUAAUGAUUAAUAGGGAUAGUCGGGGGCAUCAGUAUUCAAUCGUCAGAGGUGAAAUUCUUGGAUUGAUUGAAGACUAACUACUGCGAAAGCAUUUGCCAAGGAUGUUUUCAUUAAUCAGUGAACGAAAGUUAGGGGAUCGAAGACGAUCAGAUACCGUCCUAGUCUCAACCAUAAACGAUGCCGACCAGGGAUCGGCGGAUGUUGCUUAUAGGACUCCGCCGGCACCUUAUGAGAAAUCAAAGUUUUUGGGUUCCGGGGGGAGUAUGGUCGCAAGGCUGAAACUUAAAGGAAUUGACGGAAGGGCACCACCAGGAGUGGAGCCUG
rnacentral:rRNA from 1 species